rnacentral:snRNA from 1 species
UUGCUUCACCAGCACAUAUGCCAAAAUUGGAACAAUACAGAGAAACUGAGAAUGGCUCUUGUUCAGAAAUGACAUGCAAAUUUGUGAAAUGUUAAAAAAAAAA